rnacentral:rRNA from 1 species
UGCCCAUUUGAGGGGGAUACCAGUUGGAAACGACUGUUAAUACCGCAUACUAUCUGAGGAUUAAAGGUGGCCUUUGUGCUGCCGCAGAUGGAUGAGCCUGCGUUAGAUUAGCUUGUUGGUGGGGUAAAGGCCUACCAAGGCUACGAUCUAUAGCUGAUUUGAGAGGAUGAUCAGCCACAUUGGGACUGAGACACGGCCCAAACUCCUACGGGAGGCAGCAGUGGGGAAUAUUGGACAAUGGAGGAAACUCUGAUCCAGCAAUGCCAUGUGUGUGAAGAAGGCUCUAGGGUUGUAAAGCACUUUAGUUGGGGAGGAAAGCUUAUGAGUUAAUAGCUCAUGAGAAGGACGUUACCCAAAGAAUAAGGACCGGCUAACUCCGUGCCAGCAGCCGCGGUAAUACGGGGGGUCCGAGCGUUAAUCGGAAUUACUGGGCGUAAAGGGUCUGUAGGUGGUUUGUUAAGUCAGAUGUGAAAGCCCAGGGCUCAACCUUGGAACUGCAUUUGAUACUGGCAAACUAGAGUAUGGUAGAGGAAUGGGGAAUUUCUGGUGUAGCGGUGAAAUGCGUAGAGAUCAGAAGGAACACCAAUGGCGAAGGCAACAUUCUGGACCAAUACUGACACUGAGGGACGAAAGCGUGGGGAUCAAACAGGAUUAGAUACCCUGGUAGUCCACGCUGUAAACGAUGAGUACUAGCUGUUGGAUUCGGUGUAAAGGAUCUAGUGGCGUAGCUAACGCGUUAAGUACUCCGCCUGGGGACUACGGCCGCAAGGCUAAAACUCAAAGGAAUUGACGGGGACCCGCACAAGCGGUGGAGCAUGUGGUUUAAUUCGAUGCAACGCGAAGAACCUUACCUGGUCUUGACAUCCUGCGAACUUUCUAGAGAUAGAUUGGUGCCUUCGGGAACGCAGUGACAGGUGCUGCACGGCUGUCGUCAGCUCGUGUUGUGAAAUGUUGGGUUAAGUCCCGCAACGAGCGCAACCCCUAUUGAUAGUUACCAUCAUUAAGUUGGGUACUCUAUUGAGACUGCCGCUGACAAGGCGGAGGAAGGUGGGGACGACGUCAAGUCAUCAUGGCCCUUACGACCAGGGCUACACACGUGCUACAAUGGGUAUUACAGAGGGCAGCGAAGUAGCGAUAUGGAGCGAAACUCAAAAAGGUACUCUUAGUC